GACGAACGCUGGCGGCGUGCUUAACACAUGCCAGUCGAACGGAAAGGCCCUGCUUUUGUGGGGUGCUCGAGUGGCGAACGGGUGAGUAACACGUGAGUAACCUGCCCUUGACUUUGGGAUAACUUCAGGAAACUGGGGCUAAUACCGGAUAGGAGCUCCUGCUGCAUGGUGGUGGUUGGAAAGUUUCGGCGGUUGGGGAUGGACUCGCGGCUUAUCAGCUUGUUUGUGGGGUAGUGGCUUACCAAGGCUUUGACGGGUAGCCGGCCUGAGAGGGUGACCGGCCACAUUGGGACUGAGAUACGGCCCAGACUCCUACGGGAGGCAGCAGUGGGGAAUAUUGCACAAUGGGCGGAAGCCUGAUGCAGCAACGCCGCGUGCGGGAUGACGGCCUUCGGGUUGUAAACCGCUUUCGCCUGUGACGAAGCGUGAGUGACGGUAAUGGGUAAAGAAGCACCGGCUAACUACGUG
rnacentral:rRNA from 1 species